GUGAAGUGUGCUGUUAAACAUGGGCUGUGCAUCUGUAAGGAGUAUUUAAGAACAACUUGAAAUUCAGAAAUCAACAAAAAGAAAAAGGAACUCUAGUCCAGAAGCUUAUUAAUGAAAAUUCAGAGUUCUGCUUUUUCUCUUUUGUUAUUGCGAAUUCUGGUCGUCAAAGCCAGUUUUAAUGGCCAAGUUGGAGAUUCAAAUCAAGAUAAGGAAAACGUUAAAGCCCUCAACUCCUACCCUGAAUCAUCUCCGGAGCCUCAAUCUUUCGUUGUUUGAUCAGAUGGCUCCUAGUGAGUACGUACAGUACUGUUCUACUACUUUUCGAGCAGUGAAUGGAACAGGUCAGAUGGUGCUGAAAGAUGUGAUGAGCUGCAAAAAUCUUUGGCUAAGACCUUAGUUUUAUCCCCUAGCAGGAAGAUUUAAAAAAGAUGACCUCUCAAUUCACUGCAAUGAUGAGGAUGACCUCUCAAUUUGAGAUUAUAUUCGUAUGCAAAUAAAAUUGUAGUAACAUUUUAUAAAUUCGUAUGCAGAUAAAAUUGAGAGGAAUCAGCUUGGAUCCAUUUCAGGCCAUAGUUCAAUUUUCUAUACAUAUGAUAGGUGAUUAUUUUCCUGCAAUUGUGUCAUUCUCAUGUGAAGGAUCCAAUAUUCAGCUUCUGAAUCAAUCCUUUAGCCUAGGAUGUUCAACCACCAUUUGUCAAUGCAGAAACUCCCUAAAGUCUUCCAAAAAGAAGGGAAAAGAAAAACAUACAUACACACAAAGUUCUGAAUGAGAACUUUUUUUUUCUCUUGUAAUGGAAGGGAAACCAAAAUUGAAGAGAGUAAAAGCAGUCAAGAAGAUGGACCAACAAAACAUAGCUUUCAACAAGACAAACCUUCCCACAAGCAGUCAAAGAUGUUAAAAGUACCAAAGGGACUUCAAUUACCACUUACAGCUUUUCCAUCAAACUAAAGAUCACAAGUUUUCAAAGUCUUAUUUUUCUUUCGUAAACUUCAUGCCCAAAUGCCGCCACAUAAACUGGGACAGAGGUAGUACUUUUUCUUUUUGCUGGAAUAACCCAGAGAUCGAUCAAGAUGUUACAAUCGCAAGUUGAAACUAAACUCUUGUAAAAUUGAUCCUCUAUUAUACCUCUGCGAAUUAUGUGUGUAUGUGGGGCGGGGGGAUUCAAAAUUUGAUUAGAAUCAUCAAGAUUUGUUUGAAACAUAUUUAAAGGCACCAAAGAUACACCUAUAUCAUGCAUUCAAGAAAUCAUCAUUCAACAGGAAUCAGAGUGAAAAAGGGAAACUAGCAGCAAAGUGUAUAUGAAGCAAGGGUAACAUAUUAAACACGAACAAACAAAAUCAAACUCCUAUUGUCAUUCGUCAGUACUAAAUACUACUACUAGUAUUCAUUACAUACAAUACAAGCCAACUCCAAAGAAAAACAAUACUAAGUGUUACGAAUUCUUAAAAUAAAACUAAUAGUACUACUUGUAAACUUUCAACCUAGACCAAGAAAGCAAAGGCAGAGAUGAGAGCAGCAACUGA